GGGCAGUCUACAGCGCCCUGGGCCCAAACCGCCAGCCUCCUUGUGCGGGUGGUUCAGUCCUCCUCUCCGCUUGCAGACCCAGAGGCUUGUGAGGGUCGUAGGAUUGACUCCUGUUGAACGAGAGCACUGGAGCCCAGGAGGGGGGCUGGCGAUAGCGCAGGCCGGAGACCACCCAGACUGACGUGAGCCCCGGUACAAACCAGGCUUGAGGGGACCCCUUGUCACUCUUGGCCUUUUCCAAUGGAACCAUCCAUCAAGAGAUGACAGCAACUCCAGCAGCACAUCCCUGCAAGAUCGGAGAAAGCUCGCUGCCCUCGUGUGAACCACCCAGUGAGGCCCGUCAAGGUCCCAAACAGCUGCUGCCAUUCAAGGAGCUUCGCUGACAUCCACGUGGGCGGCAGGUUAGCACGUGGUCCUCACCCGCCCUUGGAUGAGCCCUGGCUGUUGGCUGUCUGGGACUCGGCUUCACAUGCUUGCCGUGAGAGCGCUGAUGGUUCCGGCUCGCAGCCCCAGGUGCUGUGUGUUCCUGCCUCAAGACAGCAGGUCUGACAGGCACCAGGACUGCCCAGCGACGGAAAAGAUGGAGAAACACAACAAGGCCCUCAAUGUGACCAGCUGGCACUUGCAUCAGUGUUGAAAAUUUCAAACAGUGACACAAGUUAGGACUGUGAGGGACAAUAUUUUUGUUUGGUAAGGUCAGAUUUUGGGUCACAUAUGAACAAUAGUUAUUUCUUUUCAGAUUAUUACUGACAAUAGUUUUGUCUUACAGAGGAGAUGAGCGUUAACAAUGGUCGGCUCUGGUGUAAAUCUGCCGGGUCAGCUCCACUGGACCAUAACGGACAGAAAUCCAGGCCCUUUUUGGGUUUUUCUGUGUACAGUUGUCCUAAACCUGAAAUAUAUGUGAUGCAUUCCACAUAUUGCUACUUUUUCUGCUGCAAUUAUGCCUCUGUGUUAUUAAACACAUACGCCAUAUGUCUUUAUUUGAAAGCUCAGAACCUGGUCAGUGCUCAUAGCAGAGGUAAUGCCCACUGCACUUCUGGAAUUUGGUUCCAGAGCUACAUGAGUACGACUGCACAGUGACUUCCAGCCUGGCCUGUUUCCUCCCGUGUUGGACAUUGUGGGCUUCACACGGACUCCUCCUGUCCUACACACACACACACACACACACGCACACACAGAGCUCAGGCCUCCAGCUGAGCCCUCCCCAGGAACCGCCUCAGCCAGGAGGAGCUCAGAGUCAGCCAUGUCAUCCUGGGGCCACCCCAUCCGAUGGGCUCAGGCGAGCACAGAGGCCCCGCCCCUUUGCCUGCAUAACGGCAGGCCUGAAGGACCCCCAGCGGUGCCCUUCCUUGGGGCUGCCUUCGAGGUUCAAAUUCUCCCUUUGCGGGGUCCCAGUCCUCCUGCCUCGCUCCCCACAGGGACGGAGCCUAAGAGCACUCUCUGAUAUUCCGCCUCUGCACAAACCAGGGGCUGAUUUUUGGAACUCUGUUAUGACACCACUUACCUCCCCCGACCUCCGUAUUGCACUGACCUGGCCCUCUGGCCUGUCACCUCUUCCCCAAAUGCCCGUGUUGGCUCCAGAGUUGGCCCAGGUGGCAAUCAGUGCUGGACCCCAAAUAUUCCCACGGUUCUGUCUUCCAGGGUCACUAGGGCUCCCCUGCCUGGCCCUGUGGCCGGGUGGGGCUGUGUGGAUAGCUGGCUGAUAGGCUGUGGGCAGAGAUGACCUGGGUCAGUUCAAGAAGAUGGUUUAACUGCCACCUGGAGCCCUCCAGAACCGCUCCCCUCCAGCACUGACGUGGGUCCUGGAAUGUGUGCACGAGGCGAGGCCCCUGCCAGUCCUCUGUGGGCAGGGAGAGCGGAUGUUGAACCUCUGGUGGUGUGCACGCUGAGACUGGGGACCGCUGCUCACAGCAGCAUCGUCCUGUGCAUCCCCCUGAUGCAGCUCCCGGGGGCAGGAACCU
ensembl:lncRNA